GUUUGUUUACAUAUUUUGUUACAACGAAGUGGUGCUUACGUCUUUUUUCGAUUCAACAUAUUAGUUUUGAUUAGCGGCAAAAUCGCAAAAUAUUUUACUUUUUAUCAGUGAUUGUGCAAUAUGGAAUUGUGUCAACAAGUGAUUGCAUUCAAAAAUGGUCUUGUUCCAUACAGCGAUACUGAUUCUAAUCAUUCUUCUGAGCAAAAAACUUAUUCACAAACAGAAUCCAAAAAUGAUAUUGAAGAAGAGACAUGUGCAAAAGAGGUUACAGAAACAAAAGAAUAUUACCUAAGAGAUUACAAAAUAAAAAACAACGUGAUACUAGUGUUCAGCCGAAUCCUUGUAUAAAUAAAAAGUGUGGAAAUCUUUGUGAUGAUAAGUUCACCGAGUCAGAUCGGUUAGCAAUAAAUGAACAUUUUUGGGGCUUCGGCAACAAAAUUAGACAAAAAGACUGGCUCCUUUCGUGUAUAACACGGUUAUCCGUCCGAAGACGAAGAGAUGAUAGUAACAGAAGGCAAUAUACAUAUAAUUAUGCCAUUAAUUAGAAUGAUAAUACUAUUAAAGUGUGCCAACAGUUUUUGCUGAAAACGCUUCACAUAUCGGAAAAAAAGUUAAGAUUGGCUAGAAACAAUGCGAGUGGUUUGAAAAGUUUUAGUGAGGAAAAAAAAAUCUACGCCUCAUAAUACGAGUCCAAGGUUGCACUUUUAAAGUCAUUUAUUGAACAAUUGCCAGCAGUUCCCUAGCAUUAUUGUCGUAAUAAAAGUAACAAGCUGUAUCUUCCUCAAGAAUUUCACAAUACAAAAGGAUUAUAUGAUUGAUAUACCAAGCAUUUAAAUAAUAUUAAUCAGGAGUCGUCACUGUUAUCCUUAAGAGUCUUCCGAAAUGUUUUUACAAAUAGUUUUCAUAUCGGUUUUCACUUGACAAAUGCGUAACUUGUGAAAAUUACAAAAACCUGGACAGCGAAACACAAAACCAUUUAAAGCAAACUGAAGAAUACCAGACACACAUAAGAAACAAAGAUAAGUGUAAAGAAAUCUUUUUCGAGGAUCAAAAACAAAGUAAAGCCAAUUCGUUCUUCCUAUGUGCUAGCUUUGAUCUCCAAAAGGUUUUAAAUACACCCCAUGGAAAAAGCAUGACAUUAUUUUAUUCUCGAAAGUAUGCAUACUAUAAUGAAAGCGUGUAUGAAAAUGACACUAGAAAUGGUUAUUGUUUUUUGUGGGGAGAAGCUGACGGAAAAAGAGGAUCUAAUGAAAUUUCCACUGUGGUCUUUGAGUAUUUGAAAAUUGUCGACGAAAGAAGAACUCACUCUUCAGUAAGUCUUUACUGUGACAGCUGUGCUAGUCAAAAUCGGAAUAAAGCUAUGCUUUCCACAUUAGUAUUUUUUCUUACAAUUUAACAUAAAAAUUACGUAUUUGUUACCUGGGCAUACUAUGAUGCCAGUUGACUCUAUACACAGCACUAUUGAGGCAUUUACUCACGAUAAACUAUUUGGGCCCCUAGUGAAUGGUAUACCAUGAUUUCAAAAGCAAGAACUAAUCCCGAAAAUUAUAAAUGCGUUAUAAUGAAUAAUUCUGAUUUCAAAGAUUGGAAAACAUUUUCUCAAACUAUGUUUCCAACUUCAAUUAAAAUCUCUUUUCCAAAAUUACGUUCUGCUUCGUUAGAAAAAAAUAAUCCUAUCAUGAAACUUAAGUACGGAUAUUUUGACGAUUCCAAAAUUGAAGAAUACGAUCUUAACUCCAUUGCAAGAUCAAGACGAAAUAAUUCUUUAAUGGACCUCUACGUUUAUAUGAUAAUUUAUUAAAAAUUUCUUCAAAAAAAUACAAAGAUCUAAAAACAAUAUGUGAUAAAAACACAAUACCUACAAGAUUUCACAGCGAAUUUUUAAAUUUAAAAUACGAUGAAAUUAUUAAAGAUGUUCUACCUGAAACUGAUCAAGUAGACAAUUAGUAUUUUUUAGUAAGCCAAUUAUUUUUAAAACUAUUCAAUUAAAGUUUAAAAACUAUUAUUAUUUAUAUAAGUUUGCAGUUAAAAUUAAUUCUGUACUCUAAAGUAUUUUUCAUAUUAAUUUUAUUUUUUAUUGACACUAAUGAAUUUAAGGUUAAUUUUUGUACACGAAAAAAUUUGAAAAAUUAAAAAAAUUAAAAACAGAACAAAGAUUUUUUACUAAUAUCAUUGGGCAUAACCGCCAAAACAUAAAUUAGUAGCUAUCCAGCAUGACAGCAAAAAAGACGUAAGCGACAUUAAUACCCGUUAUCUUGGAAAUAUAUGAAAAAAAAAAUAAAUACAAUGUAUAGUUAAGAAGUAGCAGUGCAUACAUACUCAAUUCCACUGCACUACUUCUUCCUAAACCUAAGAUUUAAAAAAAAAAUCUUCCCCUGUAUAAUUUGUUUUUGGCGCUUACGUCUUUUUGACGGUUAGGGCUCAAUAUGUAUGUUUAAGGAGGCCUGCACAAUCAGAUGUUAUUAUUAUUUUUAUUUAAUUAAUCUUUGCUUUCAGAGUAAAUUCUAUUUGUAUUUAAUAUAUUGUUACGAUUUUUACUGCUUGCUAGUUGACUUUGCUAGGUUCGUAUCUCUGGAUUGACGAAUAAAACCAAAACUGUUUAAUUCAAUUCAACAACUCUUUAUUUUACAACUUGUCUACACUAUAACAGUUUACUCUUAGCACUGAUUGAUUACGUUGGCGCUGCCACGGCUUAUAUACCCACGCACUUCUCGCUGAUGCCGACGUGUCCUUCUAGAAUAUUGCGUCUGGAAAUUACCAGAACAUACGGCGCCAAAUGCAGCUAUUGCUUAGACAAGCAGACAGCCGCGGCGCCAGAUGUCUACAACAAGACAAAUGCUAUUCCAUAUACCUACAGCUAUUGUUCAUAAUAAGGGAUGCAUAUCCAAAUACAACUAAAUACUACUUUUGCAACAAUAUUUUAUUUUUUCAGAUAAUAUUAAUCUUUUCUUUCAGAUAUUAUUAUCAUUUUAUACAAUUGUUGCGUCAAGCGACAUAUCUACAAAUUUAUACCUAAAAUAAAAAUAAUAAAUGAAUUAUAAAAUAUUGAAUUAUAAAAAUUAUGAAAUAUUGAAUUGUUAUAAAUUAAGUUAAGAAAAUCUAUUAUAAAAUACUUACCCUAACAAUGUUAAAUAUACUCACCUUAAUCUAUUACCAUAAUCUGUUACAAUAUUGAAAGAAAAGUUGAAGAUUAUUAUACUUACCCCUUAUUGAUACAUAUUUAUUUUACCACUAGUUUAAGCCGUUAGUUUUAAGAUUUAGGCUUAGCAAUUAGUUUAAGAAAUAAAGAACUGCUAUUGGAUCAGAACCAUCGAGUCGAACGCACGCGUCUUAAUUUUUAUCGUAAAUCUCGACAGGCAAUUAGGUAUUUUUCACUUUAUUCGCGCAUUCCCAAGUUUUGUAUUAUCGCUUCUCAAAAACGCUUGAGAUUUUUCAUGGCGCCCGAGCAGGGACUUAGUGCGUGAUCUAAGAAUUUUUUAUUUGACUUUCGUUUUCGGUUUAAUUAAACAUUAUCGUUUCUAAUUGCCUGUCAAUCGUUCGGUUUUCGGUCUUCGGUAAAGUGAAGUGAAGCAAAGAAAUAAAAAAAAAAAAUAAUAAUAGUUAACUAAAAUACAUAUACAUAGAUAUACAUACCUAUAUAUGUAUAUAAUUCAUACAUAUAUAUAGUGGAAGUGACCUAAAUAAUAAGAAAAAAAUAAAGGAAAAAUAAUCAUAAAACAUAAAAUAUAAAACACAAAACAAGAGUGAAAAAAGUGGCGGAAAAGUAUUUAAUACUUACAUAUGUACGUGAACACGUGAAGAUAUAGUGGCAAAAUAUAA